AUUGAACGCUGGCGGCAUGCCUUACACAUGCAAGUCGAACGGCAGCACGGAUGCUUGCACCUGGUGGCGAGUGGCGAACGGGUGAGUAAUACAUCGGAACAUGUCCUGUAGUGGGGGAUAGCCCGGCGAAAGCCGGAUUAAUACCGCAUACGAUCUACGGAUGAAAGCGGGGGACCUUCGGGCCUCGCGCUAUAGGGUUGGCCGAUGGCUGAUUAGCUAGUUGGUGGGGUAAAGGCCUACCAAGGCGACGAUCAGUAGCUGGUCUGAGAGGACGACCAGCCACACUGGGACUGAGACACGGCCCAGACUCCUACGGGAGGCAGCAGUGGGGAAUUUUGGACAAUGGGCGAAAGCCUGAUCCAGCAAUGCCGCGUGUGUGAAGAAGGCCUUCGGGUUGUAAAGCACUUUUGUCCGGAAAGAAAUCCUUGGCUCUAAUACAGUCGGGGGAUGACGGUACCGGAAGAAUAAGCACCGGCUAACUACGUG
rnacentral:rRNA from 1 species